GCUGGGGCCUAGGGAUGGGGAGGGGGUGUAAACUUUGCUGGGGAAGUCUGGAAACAGCUGCUGACCCAUUGUCCUUGCCUCAAGCCAGGUGGCAGGGCAGCUUCUGAGGCCUGGACUUGUCCAGUUCUUGGAAACAGGGACUUAGGCCUAGUCUCCUGAACUGCCGAUUUGAAGGCUGACAUGGAGUCAGUCUAGCCUUCUCAGUAACACAGCCAAGAAAACACACCAUUCCUCUAAGCCUUGACAUUUGUGACCUCCAAGCAGAGCACCUGGGUUUGGUUCUCAGAAUCCACAUGAUAUGACAGCAGACAAUCAUCCCCAAUUCCAGUUCCAAGGGAUCUACAACAUCUGUCCUCCACAGGCACCAGGUAUACACAUGGCACACAGACAUACAGGUACAUAAAAAUAGAUGUCCUGAAUCCACCCGGUCCCUCUCAUCUGUCACCACAUUCAUUCUGAUAUAAGUGUCCUUGUUGACCUGUCUACUGCUGUAGUUCUAACUGGGCUUCCUGUGACCCUUUUGUCUUCCUCCUACAGAGGGCUCUGGCUGGUUUUCGCCUGGGACUCCUGCAGAGCCCCUCCCCUCUCCUUAUUCUGUAGGUUUCCAAGUAAUUUCAGUCUUCCAAGAAACAGACUCCAACGGAAGACCAGGAAGAAGGAUUGCAGCCCCAAAGGAGAUAGGAGUUUCACAGGAAGACCAACAGAAUCUACUAGCCUGGUCCCUUGGGGCUCUCAGAGACUGAACCACCAACCAAAGAACACACAUGGGCUGGACCUAGACCCCCCCUGCACAUAUGUAGCAGAUGUGCAGCUUGGUCUUCAUAUGGGUCCUGAACCACUGGAAUGGGGGCUCUCCCAAAAACUGUUGCCUAUAUGAGUGAUUUGUUCUUCUAGUUGGGCUGCCUUGUCUGGCCUCAGUGGGGCAGAAUGGGCCUAGCCUCACGGAGACUUGAAGUGCCAGGGUGAGAGGAUAGCAAGGGGCCCCCACCCAUU
rnacentral:lncRNA from 1 species